UGGGGAAUAUUGGGCAAUGGGCGAAAGCCUGACCCAGCAACGCCGCGUGAAGGAAGAAGGCUUUCGGGUUGUAAACUUCUUUUCUCAGGGACGAAAGAAAUGACGGUACCUGAGGAAUAAGCCACGGCUAACUACGUGCCAGCAGCCGCGGUAAUACGUAGGUGGCAAGCGUUAUCCGGAUUUAUUGGGUGUAAAGGGCGUGUAGGCGGGAGUGCAAGUCAGAUGUGAAAACUAUGGGCUCAACCCAUAGCCUGCAUUUGAAACUGUACUUCUUGAGUGCUGGAGAGGCAAUCGGAAUUCCGUGUGUAGCGGUGAAAUGCGUAGAUAUACGGAGGAACACCAGUGGCGAAGGCGGAUUGCUGGACAGUAACUGACGCUGAGGCGCGAAAGCGUGGGGAGCAAAACAGGAUUAGAUACC
rnacentral:rRNA from 1 species